CUGUCUCUUGCUUCAAGAGUGUUUGAACUGAACAG
rfam:Heterocephalus glaber contig30763, whole genome shotgun sequence.